rnacentral:rRNA from 1 species
UGCGGACCGACUCCGGUUGAUCCUGCCGGACCCGACUGCUAUCAGGGUGAGACUAAGCCAUGCGAGUCCACACUCUGGGCCACGACAGAGUGUGGCGCACGGCUCAGUAAUACACGGUCAACCUACCCUUAGGACGCGGAUAACCGCGGGAAAGGUGAGCUGUAAUCAUAAAUAAAAUCCUUCUACCUAGAAAAUCCCCUCAAUAUUCAAUUCUCCCAAUAACAAUCACACUACAGCUCACCCCCGAGACUGCGGAUAAUCCGCGAUAGGGGAGAAUGCCUGGGAUGGUUUCUCCCCGAAAGGGCUUCAGAGUCAUGCUCUCUGAAGCCGCCUAAGGAUGGGACCGUGCCCGAUCAGGUAGUUGGUGGGGUAACGGCCCACCAAGCCUAAGACCGGUGCGGGCCGUGGGAGCGGGAGCCCGGAGAUGGACCCUGAGACAAGGGUCCAGGCCCUACGGGGCGCAGCAGGCGCGAAA